rnacentral:rRNA from 1 species
AUUGAACGCUGGCGGCAGGCCUAACACAUGCAAGUCGAGCGGAGCGGCGGACGGGUGAGUAAUUCCUAGGAAUCUGCCUGGUAGUGUGGGAUAACGUCCGGAAACGGGCGCUAAUACCGCAUACUAUUAGAUUCGCCUUGGUCGGAUUAGCUAGUUGGUGGGGUAAAGGCCUACCAAGGCGACGACCCGUAACUGGUCUGAGAGGAUGAUCAGUCACACGGGAACUGAGACACGGUCAAGAGUCCUACGGGAGGCAGCAGUGGGGAAUAUUGGACAAUGGGCGAAAGCCUGAUGCAGAAAGGCGGGGGGGGUGAAGAAGGUCUUCGGAUUGUAAAGCACUUUAAGUUGGGAGGCGUUACCAAAAGAAUAAGCACCGGCUAACUUCGUGCCAGCAGCCGCGGUAAUAC